UAGCUCUUCCGAAGGGCUGGCU
rnacentral:piRNA from 1 species